rnacentral:rRNA from 1 species
GAUGAACGCUAGCGAUAGGCUUAACACAUGCAAGUCGAGGGGUAACGUGUUGGAAGCUUGCUUCCGAUGACGACGACCGGCGGAUGGGUGCGUAACGCGUAUGCAACUUGCCUCACAGUGGAGAAUAACCCGGAGAAAUCCGGACUAAUACUCCAUACACUCUUAAGUACGCCUGUACAUGAGAGGAAAGAUUUAUCGCUGUGAGAUAGGCAUGCGUCCUAUUAGGUAGUUGGUGAGGUAACGGCUCACCAAGCCGACGAUAGGUAGGGGUGCUGAGAGGCAGAUCCCCCACAUUGGGACUGAGACACGGCCCAAACGACUACGGGAGGCAGCAGUGAGGAAUAUUGGUCAAUGGAGGAAACUCUGAACCAGCCAAGUCGCGUGAAGGAAGAAUGUCCUAAGGAUUGUAAACUUCUUUAGCGAGCGAGUAAGGACUUCCACGUGAUGGGAGUUUGAAAGUAGCUCGAGAAUAAGUAUCGGCUAACUCCGUG